rnacentral:rRNA from 1 species
GAUGAACGCUGGCGGCGUGCCUAAUACAUGCAAGUCGAGCGAACAGACGAGGAGCUUGCUCCUCUGACGUUAGCGGCGGACGGGUGAGUAACACGUGGAUAACCUACCUAUAAGACUGGGAUAACUUCGGGAAACCGGAGCUAAUACCGGAUAAUAUAUUGAACCGCAUGGUUCAAUAGUGAAAGACGGUUUUGCUGUCACUUAUAGCUGGAUCCGCGCCGCAUUAGCUAGUUGGUAAGGUAACGGCUUACCAAGGCAACGAUGCGUAGCCGACCUGGGAGGGUGAUCGGCCACAUUGGAACUGAGACACGGUCCAGACUCCUACGGGAGGCAGCAGUAGGGAAUCGGCCGCAAUGGGCGAAAGCAUGACGGAGCAACGCCGCGUGAGUGAUGAAGGUCUUCGGAUCGUAAAACUCUGUUAUGAGGGAAGAACAAAUGUGUAAGUAACUAUGCACGUCUUGACGGUACCUAAGCAGAAAGCCACGGCUAACUACGUG